rnacentral:tRNA from 1 species
GUCGGGAUAGCUCAGCUGGYAGAGCAGAGGA